rnacentral:lncRNA from 1 species
CCUCCAAUAUUUAAUUUCUUUAUUUUGUAAUCCAUAGUCUGUAGCUAUUCCUUUCCCUGUCAUAGAAAUAAAUGAGCAAUGGACUGCUUUAAGUCCAGUCAUGCUUCAGGGUGCAAAAAUCUGAGUUCAGAGUGCUCCACAGAAGACUUCUCUACACAGAAAGCUUUAGAUGCGUUGCAUGCACAGACCUCUCUGUGACUUAAGCAUAAGGAAAGAUGCUCAUACUGUGAAGUCUGGUGAGAUCACAGAUCAGUUGUGACCGGAGCUGCCUUGCAUUAGGAAGCUAUCAGGCCGGUAAGCAAGGGCAACAGGAUCCAGACUCGAAGCUCAUGUUUGUGUGUUGAAAUAGUCCAAGGACACGCUGCAAUGAUUGGCAGCCCAGCCCGCCUCUCACGUCGAGCAAGUUCCGUUUGUGGGGUGGGCACAGAUUUUGAUGAACUCAGAGAUGACAUGACCCUUUCUGCAGUGAUGAUUAGUAAUACCACAAGCAGGUUGAGCUAUAGUUCUCAGAUAAUGCCUGGCAAAAAGCUGAAGGAUUAGUUCCUGUAGGAGGAUUCUGUCUUCUGUGUGCUCAAGGCUGAUGCUGAAAGGCACUGCCUCAUCAUUUAAUCAGACGGCCGGUCCCUGGUGGCAAACUGAAGGAAAAAUAAGCCGCAUCUGCCCGGCUUCGCCUUGCUGGGACCAGCGGGUCAAAAUCCCCCUAUGCCGUGCCGGCCCGGUGAAGGAGCUCUCGAGGAAUGAGACGCUGACGGGCCGAAGGCAGCCCAAAAGCCGCCGAACCUCUUUGCUGGGAGGAGGCGGCGGACGCGUGGGAGGCGAAACCCGGCGGAGCGCUGCUGCCCGUGCCCGGGGCCGUGCCCGCUGUCGNGUACGUCCCCCUAUGGAUA